rnacentral:rRNA from 1 species
UACGGGGGGGGCAAGCGUUGUUCGGAAUUACUGGGCGUAAAGGGCUCGUAGGUGGCCAACUAAGUCAGACGUGAAAUCCCCAGGCUCAACUUGGGAACUGCGUCUGAUACUGGAUGGCUUGAAUUCGGGAGAGGGAUGCAGAAUUCCAGGUGUAGCGGUGAAAUGCGUAGGUAUCUGGAGGAAUACCGGUGGCGAAGGCGGCAUCCUGGACCGAGAUUGACACUGAUGAGCGAAAGCCAGGGGAGCAAACGGG